CGAGCGAAGGAGAUCAGUCUAGUGCCAGGCACACAAAGGUGAGGUAGACAGCGCCAGGAAUUUCGACAUGGCGUGAAAGGAGCAAGGGCACAGUAACAACUAUUUCGUUUUUUUAUUCCAAGUGACUCGUUUUCUGAAAUGACAAGAGAGUCCAUUUUUCGUGGGAAGUAAAAGUGAAAAAUGUUUCAAUAAACUGUGAAAAGAAGAGGAUACUCUUUUUUUUAGUUGUGUUUUGUUUUGUUUUUUGCUUUUUUCAACUUGCUUGUGCUACAAAGAAAGCAAAAACGCUAUUGAAACGUGUUUAUUUUGCAAACUUCUCAUCUAUUCCAACGUCUACCUCAUAUCUGUGAGAUUUUCGAGACGGAAUUGUGUGUGUAUAUAUAUAUAAAAGAGCACUCGUUCUUCAAUUUCGCCAAAGGAACACGAAAACAGCAGAGGAUUCCCUGGAUUUUUUGGGAGGAGGAUUAAAUAAUAGAUGUAUAACAGCCGAGGAGUUGGAUCUUCAAGCCUUGUGGAAAAUCCCCUGUGUUCUCCCUACAGCAGGCCUGUGAGGGUCAGAGAGAGUACGACGUAUUGAUUGAUUGAUCGAUUUCUUCAGGACAUCAAAGCAUCCAGAGAGCCAGCCGAUGACUUUAAUUGCCCACUGACCGCUUCUAAUCCUUUUGUGACAAAAUUCACACAUUUUCGCUCUCGUCUUCUUUCCUUCCCGGCAGUGUGAGCCCUCGUCUCUCCUAGACGUUUGGGCCUCCACACAGUCUCGUCUAUGGCAGCGAAAUCUUCGCCUUGUUUUCUCAUCCACAUCGUCGUUGUCGUCUGUCUUCUCUCACACUUUGCUGAAGGAACAUGUAAUUGCAACACAGACUGUGCUUCGGCGUGUGCUGCAGGCUACUACUUCGACAGUGGCAAUUGUCAGAUAUGUCCUCAAGGCUCCUAACGCACACCGUUAUUUUUUCCUUACUCACUUUAAAGACUUAAGGCAAACGUUGUAUACCCCGGCAAAAUAAAAUCAUCACUGAACACUGUCUGUUGACUACAGGUUAGGGUUUGGGUAAAGAUUAAAGCUAGAGUUGUGGAUUAUAGAAGGUUUAUAUUUCGUCAAUAGAAACAGCUGCUAGGUUUGUCCUGCGGGAGAUCGACAAGUAGACUGGUGUCCUUAUCAAGCCGGAUUUAUUAGCUCUCCUUAUAAUACUCUAGAUUUAUACAUUGGAAAGGUUUUGUAAAGCGUUUCCUACAGGCUAAAAGAAAUGGAAACAGGUGUCGUGGGUAAAGCUCUAAAGAGGAGUCAAAAUGGCUACCAAAGUCCGAAUAAAAGUGUAGGGAAUGAUGGGGAAUAUUUCUGCUAGGACGAUACUGCGGCUUGCAAUGCACAAUCAAAAUACUCCAAGUGAUCAAGUUUAAAAUGUUAUCUGCUGCACAGGAAAAGUUUCGACUAAAAUGGAUACUAUAUUAUGUGUGAGAAACAUGCUUGCCAGUUAAAAGGAAGCAUAGAGUAAAGAUAAA